AUUGAACGCUGGCGGCAGGCCUAACACAUGCAAGUCGAGCGGAAACGGCAGUAUUGAAGCUUCGGUGGAUUUACUGGACGUCGAGCGGCGGACGGGUGAGUAACGGCUGGGAACCUGCCCUGACGAGGGGGAUAACCGUUGGAAACGACGGCUAAUACCGCAUAAUGUCUACGGACCAAAGGUGGCCUCUACAUGUAAGCUAUCGCGUUGGGAUGGGCCCAGUUAGGAUUAGCUAGUUGGUAAGGUAACGGCUUACCAAGGCGACGAUCCUUAGCUGGUUUGAGAGGAUGAUCAGCCACACUGGGACUGAGACACGGCCCAGACUCCUACGGGAGGCAGCAGUGGGGAAUAUUGCACAAUGGGGGAGACCCUGAUGCAGCCAUGCCGCGUGUGUGAAGAAGGCCUUCGGGUUGUAAAGCACUUUCAGCAGUGAGGAAGGUAGUGUACUUAAUACGUGCAUUGCUUGACGUUAGCUGCAGAAGAAGCACCGGCUAACUCCGUGCCAGCAGCCGCGGUAAUACGGAGGGUGCGAGCGUUAAUCGGAAUCACUGGGCGUAAAGCGCAUGCAGGCGGUUUGUUAAGUCAGAUGUGAAAGCCCGGGGCUCAACCUCGGAACCGCAUUUGAAACUGGCAGGCUAGAGUCUUGUAGAGGGGGGUAGAAUUUCAGGUGUAGCGGUGAAAUGCGUAGAGAUCUGAAGGAAUACCAGUGGCGAAGGCGGCCCCCUGGACAAAGACUGACGCUCAGAUGCGAAAGCGUGGGUAGCAAACAGG
rnacentral:rRNA from 1 species